rnacentral:pre_miRNA from 1 species
GCGACACCCUUCUGGGGCAAGACUUGCUUCAGUGGGGCUUUGGUGCUCACUGAGUCUGCCUGCCCCCUGAGUGUGUCCCU